rnacentral:lncRNA from 1 species
CAAGCAGGGAGUAAAUGAUUUUAAAAUAUCCCAAUUUUUUUUUUUCUUUUCUAGUUCUAAACAAAGGAGAAAUUUCCCAAGAAGAGAGAAUAAAUCUACUUACGAAAAGAAUCAUGUAACAAGAAAAUCUAAGUAGCCUACUUCUGAUUUUAAAAUUAUAGCUGUUUGUAGAGGUUGGUAGGUCUGGUCACAGCAAACAUCUGGGUAGCUGGUGUGGAAGGUGUUUCAGAUGUGGAUGUCAGCGAAUGUAGCCUCCAGUCAAACCUCAGAUCAUAUACAUCUUGGAAUUACUAGAGGAAGCUGCAGGCAGAGAGUGUUAGAUGCCAUGUUUCCUCUGGGAGCAUGUGACCCAAUCUUUGUUCCAUGUGAAGUUAUUAAAGGUGAGUUCCUUCUUCAGUGUCAUCCACUGGCAGUCACCGGAGCUAGACAG